rnacentral:rRNA from 1 species
GUUUAUUGAAUAUAAAGAAAAGACGAACAGCUCAGUAACUCUUAUUUGAUUUGAUGUAUUAGGAUUCUAACUAUGUUAAAUUAUAGGUAACAAUAAUACAAUAAGAAUAAGAUCUAUCAGUUAGUUGUUAAGGUAAUGGCUUAACAAGACUAUGACGGAUAACGGUAUUACUUUGUAAUAUUCCGGAGAAGGAGCCUGAGAGAUUGCUACUAAGUCUAAGGAUUGCAGCAGGGGCGAAACUUGACCUAUGAUAUUAUAUUGAGGCAGUUAUGAGUAGUAUUUUAUAAUUAUUGUAGUAUUGUAAGUACAUAUUACAAGAUAAAUCGGAGGGCAAAUCGAGUGCCAGCAGCCGCGGUAAUACUUGUUCCGAUAGUGUGUAUGAUGAUUGAUGCAGUUAAAAAGUCUGUAGUUUAUUUAUAAUAAGCAUUGUAAGGUAUACUGUAUGGUUAGGAGAGAGAUGAAAUGUGAUAACCCUAACUGGAUGAACAGAAGCGAAAGCUGUAUACUUAAAUGUAUUAUUAGAACAAGGACGUAAGCUAGAGGAUCGAAGAUGAUUAGAUACCAUUGUAGUUCUAGCAGUAAACUAUGUUGAAUCAUAGAUAUAUUUUGAUAUAUAUUUAUGUAGAGAAAUUAAGAUUAUAUUGACUCUGGGGAUAGUAUGAUCGCAAGAUUGAAAAUUAAAGAAAUUGACGGAAGAAUACCACAAGGAGUGGAUUGUGCGGCUUAAUUUGACUCAACGCGGGGUAAUUUACCAGGUAUAACAUGAUAUAAUAUUUUAUCAUGAUAGUGGUGCAUGGCCGUUUCCAAUGGAUGCUGUGAAGUAAUGAUUAAUUUCAACAAGAUGUGAGACCCUCAUUUAGACAGAUGUAGUGAUACAUAUGAAGGAGAGGAUUAAAACAGGUCCGUUAUGCCCUAAGAUAAUCUGGGUUGCACGCGCAAUACAAUAAUAUUUGAUAUUAUAAGGGAUAAUAUAAUGUAAGAUAUAUUUGAACAUGGAAUUGCUAGUAAAUUUUAUUUAAUAAGUAGAAUUGAAUGAGUCCCUGUUCUUUGUACACACCGCCCGUCGCUAUCUAAGAUGGUAUUAUCUAUGAA